rnacentral:misc_RNA from 1 species
ACUCUUCAACUCGUUAUGGCUUGCCAUGAUGAGCUUGGACCUUGGGGGUCUUGCUGGCUUUGCAGUCAGCUCCUCUCAAAUGAAUUAGCUUCCCAGCGUUUGGUUGGCAUCACAGGUGUGAUAACUGUCUGCGCUUGUGGUUUCUGCCAGAUGACCCUUGGUUUAAAAGGGGGUUUGCUGGGGCUCAUAAAUGUCUCUCUUCAAUGGGGACAGCUAUUUGAAC